UACGUAGGGGGCAAGCGUUGUCCGGAAUCAUUGGGCGUAAAGCGCGUGUAGGCGGCCCGGUCAGUCCGCCGUGAAAGUCCAGGGCUCAACCCUGGAAUGCCGGUGGAUACUGCCGGGCUGGAGUCCGGAAGAGGCGAGUGGAAUUCCUGGUGUAGCGGUGAAAUGCGCAGAUAUCAGGAGGAACACCGAUGGCGAAGGCAGCUCGCUGGGACGGUACUGACGCUGAGACGCGAAAGCGUGGGGAGCAAACAGG
rnacentral:rRNA from 1 species